GAACCUUUGGCGCAGUGGUAGCGCGUGUGAUUCCAGUGGCCCUCGUUUCCCGGAAUAUCCACAAGGUCGUCCGUUCAAUCCGGGCAAGGUUCA